GAUGAAGAACGCAGCGAAAUGCGAUAAGUAAUGUGAAUUGCAGAAUUCAGUGAAUCAUCGAAUCUUUGAACGCACAUUGCGCCCCUUGGUAUUCCGAGGGGCAUGCCUAUUCGAGCGUCAUUAUCACCCCUCAAGCCUAGCUUGGUGUUGGACGGUUUGGUGGAGGCCCCCUCGGGGGCUCCUGCCCCUCCCAAAGACAGUGACGGCGGCCUCGUUGGACCCCCGGUACACUGAGUUCUUCACGGGACACGUAUCGGACACAUGGGUUUACGGGACACGGUCUGCCUCCCCUCAGGGAGAAUCUUUCUAAGGUUGACCUCGGAUCAGGUAGGGAUACCCGCUGAACUUAAGCAUAUCAAUAAGCGGAGGA
rnacentral:misc_RNA from 1 species